GUCAUAAAUGGGCACCGCGUGAUUCAUCGGUCUGGUGUUUCUGUUUCAGGUUAGCCUUCAGCAAUCAAGGCGAAUAAAAAAAGUGUACUAAAAUCAAUUUGCAGUCUUGUCUGACGGGUCAUAUAUGGCCCGCGAGCCGCCAGUUGCCCAUCUCAUUAUUAGACCCAUGAGAAUUGAACAGGUCUGGUCAUCACUACCACACAGUGAUUGUGAAUCCACUCCCAAAGCAAUUCAUCAAUAAAUGCUCUGAAUAUUCCUGUCAUCUUUGAACUGAAGAAGAGUUUCCAGAAGAGCAGGACAAACUUCAAGUGUGUCAACAAUUUCGGACAUACUACUGCAAAGAUGGAUUUUAUUAAAGAGGAGAGAGAGGACAUGGGUUAUCCAGAACCACACAGAGUGAAAGAUGAAGAAACUGAGGAACAAAUAGGUCUGAUGGAAGGGAAAGAAGAAAGUCAAGAACUGAAUGAAGUGGAGGAGACACGUCACUUUCAGAUGCCUUAUGAUUAUGUAACUGCAGAGCAAUCAUUUAGUUGCUCACAGACUGAAAUGAAUUUCUCACAACAAACAAAUCAAAGAACAAAAGUCACAAAUUCUUUUACCUGCCCUCAGUGUGCAAAGAGUUUCAAACGGAAAGACCACCUUAAAAUGGGAGCACUGCAUAGCGUCUCUCCCAUCUGCGCUCUUUUACCACACAAUUACAGCACAAAAAACCCCCCCCACAAGAAUCAACAUCAGAUGGGACAUUGAAAGACACAAUGCCACUGGUUGAAAUGAUCAUCUCUGAUGUUAUCUGUGAAUCUGCGUUUCAACCACAGGAAGACGUCAAUGAUAUCAACAACUUACUCUUAAUUGUACACAUUUACCUCAGGAACGUUAUCUGAUGUUACAGUUUGUUAGCUUGAAAAAAUUAACUGUAGAGAAGAGCAAAUUGCUAUAAUCUUUAACGUUCAGAGAUUCACUUUGCAUGGAUACAGCUCAUUGCAAAGGUUUAUGACAGCCCACAUGCAUUCAUUAAUUUGUGGCCGCAUUACCACCUCGGAUUGUGCAUCAUUUUUCAAACUCAAAAUGUGAUUCUGGAUCACUGCAACUCAAAAUGAUGGCGCAGGUCACGUUUAUGUAAGGAAUAAUUAACAAUGGACCAUCAAUUUUGCAGCCUCUGCGUCUUAGCCGCAUUACCACAUCUGGGUGUGGAUUAUUGUUCAUUAAUUCAACGGGUCAGUGUCAAUUAUUCCGCUAAUACCACGGUUACCAUUUCAAAAGACAUCUUUCAGGGUUUUAUCUCAGGACAUUUUCAGGUUUGCCACAGAUAUUAAAUUGAGAUAUUUCAGAAAUUGUUUGUCAUUAUUAAUGGAUUUACUUAGCCAAUGUUUUUAUUUGGUUGUUUUGCGGUGGAAGCCUAUACGGCUCUUUGAAAUAACUGAAAUAAUUUGCCAAAAUGAUUUGAAACUGUUUUGUGGUCAAGACCUGGAACUGCUUCUUAGCCAUGUGUUUACUGAAUAAUAAAUGCAGUAUAUAUAUUAAAGCAAAUGGAUUUAGCUUAUUCCAGGGCAGGGGCACGGUUGAAAAUAACAUUCAUUGUGUCCAAGGUUGUAUAAUGUAAAACAUUUUUAUAGUGAAUGUAAUUUUGCUGUGCAUGAAGACAUUUUUUUUAAUUGUAAUUAUGUAAUUAUAUAAUCAUAUAAGUGACCAGUAUAAUAUAAUGUAGUCUUUAAUUUUAAGGAUUGGUAAGCUAAUGUAUAGGAAUAAGUCUAUAAAAGAGAAACCUUUCUGUAAGUAAUCGUGCAACUCUUCCAUUCUUAUCACAUAUAUGUUAUAAACAUCAAAGGCACAUGUUGAAAAACAUCAUAAACACCCGAUUAUAAUAAUUUUUCAGAAAAGAGAUACAAGGUUGCAUAUAUCGGGGGAGUCUGAACAACUUUUUCAGCAAUUAUGAUAUAGUGUAUGUGUAAUUUAUUAGGGUUUCCGUUCAGAUCCAGCUGGUUUCAGUUUACUUUUCAUUAAAAAUCUGCCACCAUAUCCCUAUAUUUAACAUGAUUUCGUGAGAAUUUGUAUGUAUUUUAUAUAAAGCGUGGUUCUAACAAACGUUCAUUUACUUAUGUUUACACUGACACCGAAAAACGUACAAUAUUGGCGUAUUGACAGCAUCUAAAAUGUAUGAAUGAAUGAACGUUACAUUUAUAUUGCGCUUUCCUGACACUACACUCAAAGCGCUUUACACAGUGAACAGGGGAUCAAAAUUAUUCCUUGCUUCAGCAAAUAUUGCUCAUUAAAAUAAACAGAUUUUUACUCAAAAUGUAAUGCUGUCAACUUUCCUUAAUUAUAUGCUAUAUUUGUACAAGAUAUUGAGAUUAUGCUGUACUCAUAAUAAUAAAGAAACUUUGCUAAUUAUUUUGAGCGACAAUAAUCUUAAUUUUAGUAAACCCAGCCUAAUUUUGUAAAAUUCCAUGGGAAACCACGAUGCAGAAUGUGACUGAAUUUUAAGCAAGCAUAUUUGGGUCUGGCUGCCAUUUUGGAUGAGGAGAGCUCGUGGUGGACAACACAAAGUUUUUGCCAAAAAGUUCAAAGGUAAAUUACUUUAAACAUAGUGUGAAAUCAGUAGAGGUUUUUUUUUUUUUCCCUGUUGCUAUAAAGUUUGUGUAUUCAAGUUUCUAUUCGCUUAAAGAAGUUAUUAACUUACAUUACAUUUGCAAAUCUACAGCAUAUUAAACGUUUGUCUGCAUGAGGCUAAUUAGAUGUGUACAUGUUCACAGUCGAACAAACAAAGGAGCCUGCGCAUUUUUUCACCAGGCAGAUACUCUUCAUCUUCAACUGCUGCUCAGGGCCUUCACCUACAACUCCUCACUCGCAUCGCAGAAACUCAGCAAACAUCAGUGGCAGAGAAUUCCCGCAGAUUUUUCACAGGAAAGACAGUUCAUCUUCAACCGCUGCUCAGGUGUCACUCACGUGGCAGAAACUCAGCAGGAAACAGGAUAGGGUCAUUUAAAUUAUAGUUCUGGCAGGUCUACAACUAUAACUGAAAGAAGAGUCAGAGGUUUUCAAGGCAAAGAAAAAAAGGAAGAGGAGCUUGACCAAGCACAGAAAGGAGCAGAUGCCAUCAAUGCUUGGAGCAGGAAGAGCGAAAGUUGCCUUUCAACCCACUGGAUGUACUGACUGUCCUUGAAAAUGAGCUGGGGACAUUUGUCAAACCUUAGGUCAGUGCACUGACUUUUUGGGCUACUUUAUGCCCUUCACAUCAGCUACCCAAAGAAGCUGACUCUUUUUCCUUUCUUUUUUUGAGGUCAUACAGUAAAUGGUGUUGCUUCUUGAUGUUGGCAAUGUCUGGCCAAGUUGAAAGAUCUUUUGAAUGAAUAGUUUCAUUUAUAAAUACAAAUUGUUUCUGUUUAUCAUCAUGAUUUUGUUACUAUUUUUGUAUUUGAGAACAUAUUUUGCUCUAGGAGAGCAUGAAUAUCUAUGUUAGAUUGUAAAUUUGUAAACAACAAUAAAAACCUUUGACAUUCACCAGUCGUCUGUUAUUUCUUCAGGUCAUUUUAUUUUAAAGUUAAUUGAAAGUAAAUCAACAGAACCUAGAAUUUGAAGCUGCUAAUAGCACUUACAAUUGAGCUAAAUGACCUUAAAAUACAUAGUUGGGUAAACAGAGACUCUUAGGGUUAAAAAAACCAUAUAUGUAGUAGCUGGCGUGGCACAGUAUUUUAAGUAAACAUUUCUGAAUGGAAGCUCGUUAAUUUGGCCAUAGCCAGCUACAUUUUUUUUUAGGUAACGUUGCUUAAAAUUCCUAGUGGAAUUUGCUUAAAAAGUGGGAUGCAAAAGUGAUGCGCUAUAUUUUUAAGCAAAUCCAGCACAUUAUUUUUUUUCAGUGGACUCUCCUCAACCACCACCAGUUUGCAGCAUCCACCUGGAUGAUGCAGUGGCAGCCAUAGUGCGCCAGUAUGCUCACCACACACCAGUAAUCAUGUACGAAUUAUCAACUUUAGAGAAGUACAAAUGUUUCUUUCUUAUGAAAUCCAUGAAUAUUGAAUUCAUGAAAUUAAUCAGUUGAUUUUUAUUGUAUUAGUAAUCAAUGAGAUAAAUUAAAUAAUCAAUGCAAUCAUAUGUAUUUAACUCUAUGCAUUGACAUAUUUACCUUAGCCUAUAUGACAUAAUAGUGCUUUCAUUCUAUUCUGUGUGAUUUCUAGUGUCGUAAUCAAAUUGUUUCAAAGAAUUAUACCACUUUACCCAUCACUAAACUUAA